AUGGUUACUGGAAAACACGGAUGAUACAGCUAAUCAGAGGACAAGGAGAAGAUGCAUGGACUGCUGUAGAAGAUGGCUGGGAACCUCCUUUCAG
rnacentral:sRNA from 1 species